UACGUAGGGCGCAAGCGUUGUCCGGAAUUAUUGGGCGUAAAGAGCUCGUAGGCGGCUUGUCACGUCGGGUGUGAAAGCCCGGGGCUUAACCCCGGGUCUGCAUUCGAUACGGGCUAGCUAGAGUGUGGUAGGGGAGAUCGGAAUUCCUGGUGUAGCGGUGGAAUGCGCAGAUAUCAGGAGGAACACCGGUGGCGAAGGCGGUUCUCUGGGCCUUACCUGACGCUGAUGCGCGAAAGCCAGGGGAGCGAACGGG
rnacentral:rRNA from 1 species